rnacentral:rRNA from 1 species
CCUACGGGAGGCAGCAGUGGGGAAUAUUGGGCAAUGGGCGCAAGCCUGACCCAGCAACGCCGCGUGAAGGAAGAAGGCUUUCGGGUUGUAAACUUCUUUUGAUAGGGAAGUGUAGAAGACGGUACCUGACGAAUAAGCUACGGCUAACUACGUGGCAGCAGCUGCGGUAAUACGUAGGUGGCCAGUGUUGUCCGGAUUUAGUGGGUGGAAAGGGCGUGUAGCCGGGUUGAGGAGUCAGAUGUGAAAUCCUGCGGCUUAACCGAAGAACUGCAGUUGAAAAUGUUGAUCUUGAGUACUGGAGAGGCAGACGGAAUUCCUGGUGUAGCGGUGAAAUGCGUAGAUAUUAGGAGGAACACCAGUGGCGAAGG